GACGAACGCUGGCGGCGUGCUUAACACAUGCAAGUCGAACGGAAAGGCCCUGCUUUUGUGGGGUGCUCGAGUGGCGAACGAGUGAGUAACACGUGAGUAACCUGCCCUUGACUUUGGGAUAACUUCAGGAAACUGGGGCUAAUACCGGAUAGGAGCUCCUGCUGCAUGGUGGGGGUUGGAAAGUUUCGGCGGUUGGGGAUGGACUCGCGGCUUAUCAGCUUGUUGGUGGGGUAGUGGCUUACAAGGCUUUGACGGGUAGCCGGCCUGAGAGGGUGACCGGCCACAUUGGGACUGAGAUACGGCCCAGACUCCUACGGGAGGCAGCAGUGGGGAAUAUUGCACAAUGGGCGGAAGCCUGAUGCAGCAACGCCGCGUGCGGGAUGACGGCCUUCGGGUUGUAAACCGCUUUCGCCUGUGACGAAGCGUGAGUGACGGUAAUGGGUAAAGAAGCACCGGCUAACUACGUG
rnacentral:rRNA from 1 species